AGGUGAACACGAUCACAGAUAAUCACUUAGCGGCCAUCAGUGCUCCUUGUAUAUAAUGGAAGUGUAGAUUUUAGACAUCUGAAAAAUAAUUAAUGAACACAGAAAAGGUACGCUGCGAAUUACUUCUGACCCUAAGAGCGGUUCCUUUUCAUUUUCUUACAUAUAUGUUUUAUAUUGUUGUUUCCGCUAUGCGAGAAGGAGUAGCCGUCACACUUAUGAGGUGACCACGUCUCUUUCUUUUAUUUUAAUUUUAAUAAAGAAAGGAAUUUAUUCUUGCCCGCAGUUCUUUUAUCAAGCGACGUGACAGUUCAGUGUUGCCUUCAUGUACCACUGACGCAAUGCAGAGUCAGGGUUAAUUCGCAUUGAUUGUUCUGAAACUCAUUCUUCGAAUAAUGACCAUGUGAGUGCUACGCUGUAAAAAGUACGUAUUGCAAGGCCGCAAAGAAUAAUGUUGUAUUGGGUCCGCCAACAGCUAGUCGAAUGAAAAUUCGCUAUCUAUGAAUACAUAACAAUACACUCGCACUUCAUGUACUCUAACACCAUCGUAUAGCCUCUAUCUCUGCCGGCAGCUCUAGAGAUACUGUGCAUUCGGCAAUGCUUUCUUUACAUGCAUUGUUCUCUUCCAUGAAAUAUUGCAUGAAAAGUACAAUAGCCUGAACCAUGCAGGCCAGUAUCUGAAAAGUAACUGAAAUUCACAAAAUGAAUAAUAAAAUGAGAAUGCAGUGGCGGGCUGUCCAAGCAAAACCAUGAUUCAAAAAGAGGAGGAAAGUCAAACCGGUAAUAUUUCUCUAUUAUCGAUUGGCCAGCAUUGUUUAAAGAAGUAUUUAAUGUAAUGUCCCUACAGGCUGCGACACUACUUUCUGUAUGACCGAAAGCUAUGGCGAAGAUGCACAUGUGGAACAUCUUGGUCAUUUUGACCGUAUUGGCCCUCCUGUCCACAUUUCAACAAGGAGUCGAUGCAGCUAAACUUCGACGUUCAACUGGGGGGACUGGUGGAAGGGGUGGUCCUAGGCAGGUCACAAAUACUCCGAGAACUCCUCCUCCAUGUAACACAAGGCCGCAUGGCCGCAGAUAACAUCUGUGCACGGACAACAACGUUUACAAGAAUUCAGCGAAGAUCUCCGUGCAGCAAACACCAACAGGAGAUGAAGUGCAUCAUCGCUGAAGAAACACGCUACAGAUUAUGCGAAGAAUGGCUCUAAUAUCUUGACACCACACUGAGGAAAACGACCCAUAGAUGCUCAGCUAAUACUGCCUAACUAUCAGUUAUUCUGCGCCAGUUGACUUUGUUUAAAUAAUGUUGUAUAAGAUAAAAGGAUUUUCUCUUUUCUUUUCUAUCUAGAGUUUUUACAGACUGAGAUUGCCUAAUCAUAAAAAUUAUUUUAUUAGAUAUUGGACUGCCAUCUGUUACCGCUUCUGCUUGUAAUACAUUUUUGUUUCUCCUUCGUUUACGAAAAUGUAAUAAAAGAACGAACUCUCA
rnacentral:lncRNA from 1 species